GCCUGGCUGGCUCAGUCGGUAGAGCACAGGACUCUUGAUCUCAGGGUUGUGAGUUCAAGCCCCACGUUGGGCG
rnacentral:tRNA from 1 species